UACGUAGGGCGCAAGCGUUGUCCGGAAUUAUUGGGCGUAAGGAGCUCGUAGGCGGUCUGUUGCGUCCGCUGUGAAAACUCGGGGCUUAACCCCGAGCCUGCAGUGGAUACGGGCAGACUAGAGGUAGGUAGGGGAGAAUGGAAUUCCCGGUGUAGCGGUGAAAUGCGCAGAUAUCGGGAGGAACACCGGUGGCGAAGGCGGUUCUCUGGGCCUUACCUGACGCUGAGGAGCGAAAGCGUGGGGAGCGAACAGG
rnacentral:rRNA from 1 species